rnacentral:rRNA from 1 species
AUUGAACGCUGGCGGCAGGCCUAACACAUGCAAGUCGAACGAGUGGCGGACGGGUGAGUAAUGCCUGGGAAACUGCCUGAUGGAGGGGGAUAACUACUGGACACGGUAGCUAAUACCGCAUACCAUCGGAUGUGCCCAGGUGGGAUUAGCUAGUGGGUGGGGUAAAGGCUCACCUAGGCGGCGAUCCCUAGCUGGUCUGAGAGGAGGACCAGCCACCCGGGACUGGAGAAACGGUCCAGACUCCUCGGGGGGGCAGCAGUGGGGAAUAUUGCACAAUGGUCGCAAUCCUGAUGCAGCCAUGCCGGGUGUAGGAGGAAGACCUUCGGGUUGUAAAGUACGUUCAGCGGGGAGGCGUUGCCCGCAGAGGGAGCACCGGCUAACUCCGUGCCAGCAGCCGCGGUAAUUC